rnacentral:ncRNA from 2 species
AAGGAAGCCGGUGUGAAUCCGGCGCGGUCCCGCCACUGUCAUCGGGGAGUGAUCCUCCUUGCGGAGCCACGAGCGCGCGUCGCGCGGUUGGAAGGCCGGGGGUGAGCGUUGAUCCGGGAGCCAGGAUACUU